rnacentral:rRNA from 2 species
UACGUAGGGUGCGAGCGUUAAUCGGAAUUACUGGGCGUAAAGCGUGCGCAGGCGGUGAUGUAAGACAGAUGUGAAAUCCCCGGGCUCAACCUGGGAACUGCAUUUGUGACUGCAUCGCUGGAGUGCGGCAGAGGGGGAUGGAAUUCCGCGUGUAGCAGUGAAAUGCGUAGAUAUCAGGAGGAACACCGAUGGCGAAGGCAGGUCUCUGGGCUGACACUGACGCUCAUGCACGAAAGCGUGGGGAGCAAACAGG